rnacentral:rRNA from 1 species
AUUGAACGCUGGCGGCAGGCCUAACACAUGCAAGUCGAACGAGUGGCGGACGGGUGAGUAAUGUCUGGGAAACUGCCUGAUGGAGGGGGAUAACUACUGGAAAAGGUAGGUUAUACCGCCUACCCUUAGAUGGGGCCAGAUGGGAUGAGCUUGUUGGGGGGGUAACGGCUCACCAAGGCGACGAUCCCUAGCUGGUCUGAGAGGAUGACCAGCCACACUGGAACGGAGACACGGUCCAGACUCCUACGGGAGGCAGCAGUGGGGAAUAUUGCACAAUGGGCGCAAGCCUGAUGCAGCCAUGCCGCGUGUAUGAAGAAGGCCUUCGGGUUGUAAAGUACUUUCAGUGGGGAGGCGUUACCCGCAGAAGAAGCACCGGCUAACUCCGUGCCAGCAGCCGCGGUAAUUC